UUAGGAAUCUUGCGCAAUGGGCGAAAGCCUGACGCAGCGACGCCGCGUGAAGGAUGAAGGCCUUCGGGUUGUAAACUUCUUUUGUCAGGGAAGAAGGAAGUGACGGUACCUGGCGAAUAAGCCCCGGCUAACUACGUGCCAGCAGCCGCGGUAAUACGUAGGGGGCGAGCGUUGUCCGAAUUUACUGGGCGUAAAGCGCGCGUAGGCGGAUUUUUAAGUCGGUGGUGAAAUCUCAGGGCUCAACCCUGAAACUGCCGCCGAAACUGGGAGUCUUGAGGUAUGGAGAGGGAAGUGGAAUUCCUGGUGUAGCGGUGAAAUGCGUAGAUAUCAGGAGGAACACCCGUGGCGAAGGCGGCUUCCUGGCCAUAUCCUGACGCUGAGGUGCGAAAGCCAGGGGAGCGAACGGG
rnacentral:rRNA from 1 species